GCGUCGGUAGUGCAACGGUUGAGCACGCUUCCCCCCCCCGAUAGGGUGAAGUGUGGGUUCGAAAUUCCACCUGACGCA